UUAAAUUCAGGGGGUCUUCCCACUUCAUCUGAGGUCUAAUUCAAAGAUGCACAAAGUCACUCCCCCAAAACACACUCGUUAAAGCAUGCCUCAAAGUCACAGCUUUGUUCAUUUGUUUCUUUUGGCUACACAACCCGGGCUCAAACUUGCCACGAACACACACAGUCGUGCGGCUGAGAUUUAAAGGGAAAGAGGCCGAG
rnacentral:misc_RNA from 1 species